UUUAGCAUGCAGUCGAACGGUAGAGAGGUGCUUGCACCUCUUGAGAGUGGCGAACGGGUGAGUAACACGUAGGUAAUCUGCCCUGAGGCUGGGGAUAGCCCAUGGAAACAUGGAGUAAUACCGAAUAGAUCUUUUCUCCCACAAGGGGGAGAAGGGAAAGGCGCUGAGGCGCCACCUCAGGAUGAGCCUGCGGCUCAUUAGUUAGUUGGUGGGGUAACGGCCUACCAAGGCAACGAUGAGUAGCCGGCCUGAGAGGGUGACCGGUCACACUGGGACUGAGAUACGGCCCAGACUCCUACGGGAGGCAGCAGCUAAGAAUCUUCCGCAAUGGACGAAAGUCUGACGGAGCGACGCCGCGUGAACGAUGAAGGCCGUGAGGUUGUAAAGUUCUUUUCCUGGGGAGGAAUAAUCUUUUGAGGGAAUGCGAAAGAGAUGACGUCAACCAGGGAAUAAGCCCCGGCUAAUUACGUGCCAGCAGCCGCGGUAACACGUAAGGGGCAAGCGUUGUUCGGAAUUAUUGGGCGUAAAGGGCGUGUAGGCGGUACUGCAAGUCUGGUGUGAAAGAUCCCGGCUCAACCGGGGGACCGCGCUGGAAACUGUGGAACUAGAGUAUAGGAGGGGAAGCUGGAAUUCCAGGUGUAGGGGUGAAAUCUGUAGAUAUCUGGAAGAACACCGGUGGCGAAGGCGAGCUUCUGGCCAUAUACUGACGCUGAGGCGCGAAAGCGUGGGGAGCGAACAGGAUUAGAUACCCUGGUAGUCCACGCUGUAAACGAUGUGCACUAGGUGUUGGGGGUUUCAACCCUCAGUGCCGAAGCAAACGCAUUAAGUGCACCGCCUGGGGAGUAUGCCC
rnacentral:rRNA from 1 species